rnacentral:rRNA from 1 species
AUUGAACGCUGGCGGCAGGCUUAACACAUGCAAGUCGAGCGGAGAUGAGGUGCUUGCACCUUAUCUUAGCGGUGGACGGGUGAGUAAUGCUUAGGAAUCUGCCUAUUAGUGGGGGACAACAUUCCGAAAGGAAUGCUAAUACCGCAUACGCCCUACGGGGGAAAGCAGGGGAUCUUCGGACCUUGCGCUAAUAGAGUAGCCUACGUCGGAUUAGCUAGUUGGUGGGGUAAAGGCCUACCAAGGCGACGAUCUGUAGCGGGUCUGAGAGGAUGAUCCGCCACACUGGGACUGAGACACGGCCCAGACUCCUACGGGAGGCAGCAGUGGGGAAUAUUGGACAAUGGGCGGAAGCCUGAUCCAGCCAUGCCGCGUGUGUGAAGAAGGCCUUUUGGUUGUAAAGCACUUUAAGCGAGGAGGAGGCUACCUGGAUUAAUACUCUAGGAUAGUGGACGUUACUCGCAGAAUAAGCACCGGCUAACUCUGUGCCAGCCGCCGCAGUAAAAC